rnacentral:tRNA from 1 species
GGGGGCGUAGCUCAGCCGGCCAGAGCGCCGGUCUCCAGAACCGGAUGCCGCAGGCUCGACUCCUGUCACCCCUGCCA